CGACCGGCGCACGGGUGAGUAACGCGUAUGCAACCUGCCUGAUACCGGGGUAUAGCCCAUGGAAACGUGGAUUAACACCCCAUAGUACUUUUAUCCUGCAUGGGAUGUGAGUUAAAUGUUCAAGGUAUCGGAUGGGCAUGCGUCCUAUUAGUUAGUUGGCGGGGUAACAGCCCACCAAGACGAUGAUAGGUAGGGGUUCUGAGAGGAAGGUCCCCCACAUUGGAACUGAGACGCGGUCCAA
rnacentral:rRNA from 1 species